AAUUUAAUGAUAAAUAAUAGAUGAAAGAUUAAAAAAUAAGGAGAAUAUAAGGAUUCACUUCUAAAACCCAGGACUGUAUUUUGAGGUAACAAAAUGGUGUACUUUUGAAGACUUAUUCAGGAGUAGAAGCACAUGACCUUAGAAAUUUCCAUUGGCAGUAAAGCAGCUAAGAAACUAAUUUUGUGUCAUGGUCCUGUCUGGUUUUAUUGUCUUUUCUGGGUUUUUGUCAUUUGUUUGCACUGAGUUUCCCUCCUUUGUUCCUGUGCCCCUUACCCAGCCUGCUUUUCCCUCCACACCUGCCCUGCAUCUAGCAUCUUUAGCCCUGCCCUGCUCUCAGUGUUUUCCCCAGCCAAUCAGCUCCUACCUGCUCCUCCUACCCACUCACCUGCUCCCUAUUCCCUCAUCAGCUCCUCAGUACAUUUACCAGGCUCAGUCAUUUAUUCCCUGCCAGUUUGUCUUUGUUACAGUGUUGCUCCUAUGGACAUUUGUAGUCAGUCAUUUUGUAUUCUAAUCCUGUCUGUUAUCUGUUCCUGCUGUUGCUUAUAGUUUGGACCUUCUGUCUGUUUUUGACCUGCCAGCUUUUUGGACAUGAUGCUGGAGACGCCGUUAAACAGAUGGAGACAGGGGGGUGUGCUGCCUGGGCCCCUCAUGUAGGGGCCAAUCUGCAUCAGGCAAGGGGGCUGACAGAAUAAGGCCAUGGGGUGCUGAGACAAGCACCUGAACCAGGUUCUCUGGGGAGUCGGGCCACCACGCUGCCACCUGGCUCCCAAUAGGAGGCUCAGUAUGGAUAAGCAGCUCUUCUCCAUUUAUCCUGAAGACAUAACUAUUCAAGGUUGGAUGUUUUUCAUAUAUAAGACUCAUACAAUUAAAAGAUUUGGUUAUAGGGUGAAAUCCAUGAAAUGCUCAAUGGAGAACAGAUAAGUGCUCAUGUCACCACAGUGGCACUUUUUGGCUCACUGCCAUGGUAGAAUCCUUCUUUUAAAAUUAACAGUGAUUCAAAUAAAAUCAGAUUUUUUUUUAAACAGUGAAAUGACUCUAUUCUGUCCUUGUUACCCUCACUUUCUCUGUGUGUCUCAAUCUCUUUCUCCCCCUGUCUCCCUUUCUUUCUCUAUUCCUGAGGGUGGCUCAAUCAGACGACAACGGUGGCUGUCUGUCGUCGUCAAAAGACAUUUCAAUUUGGUGGCCCUCCUUCGGGCCCGGGCAAAUUACCACUUCAAAAGGCUGUGAGUCCCCAGGUCGCUCCCAGUGGGGUGGGCCCGGGAUGCUGUCUCCCUCUCUCUCUCAUCCCUCUGUUCAGCAAUGCUGAUGAGGGCUCAGGCCCCCUUGAGCAUGCUUGUCCCUUCAUACUAAACAAAACUCUCUCCUGUACAAUAAGGAGCAGGCUCCAUUAUUCUGCAUGAACAGCGUAAUGUCUUAAAUUUGUGUUAGGUGGAAUGUGCGUGAAGAUAUUAAACCACUGGAAAUGAGCAAAUGGGAAAAAUGUUCGGUCUACAAUAUUGACUUCUAGGCUAAAUUUUAGGAUUCGACAUGGAAAUCCAUUCCACAGAUUGUGUCCAUCAUCAAACAUGUUCUACACAAUAAAUGCUUAAAGUCCAGAUGAAACAGUAUUUUGAGAGUAUCUAACUUCUGUAUCUUGAUGUAUUUCUGAGUGAAACAGGAUAGAGAGGCGGGACAUAACGUUGGGAGGAAUUUGAUACAAAUGUUGAAAAGAGGGCAUGUCAUAAUGAAUCUUAGCUUGGUGCUGCUAAAAGUAAGAUUGAUUGAUGGGUGGAUGUAUUGGUUGAAAUUGGUUGGUUCAAGCCAACAUGAGCACACAUCAUAUUUUGUUUUACAGGAAGGAAACAUGAUUUGGUUUUGAUAUAGGAAUACAAAGAAAUGGAUUUUUUUGUAUUUCUCUUGGCAUAUAUUGUUAAAGAGGUGCACAGUAUGACCUUGGAUGUGAUCUAAAAGGGUUAAAAAGGCAUUUUUCAUUUCAUCUUGAUUUUAAAGCCGGUACAAUGUAGAAUUUGUAUAGCUUAAUGGCUUCUUUUGUAGAAAAAAUAAGAAAUGCAAAUGAAAGUUGAUGUAGUCUGUGUCUUUUUUACAUUUUUGAUAAAAAAUUAAAUAAAUAAAUACAAAAUGUUCAAGCCAUAUCCAUAGUAGCUUUAAAGGAAUUUUUAGACUUUUCCAUAUAUGAGCUGGUUCACAUUCUUGGCGAGAGUUAGAUGAGAAGUUUGAUAUUACGCUCUUGUUUGUAGGUUAAACAUGAAGCUAGAGCAAACAGGUAGUUAGCUUAGCUUAGCAUAAAGACUGGAAGCAGUGGGAAACAGCUAGCUUGGCUCUAUCCAAAGCGGAGACGCUAGCAAAUCACUGGAAUGGCCGAGAAAUAUUUCUAGCACUUAACUCCCUGAAAACACUAUUCGUCAUUUCUACAUUUCAUUUUUGUAUGAGGUAUUUAUGCCCAACCAAAGCACCUGUUGGCUCUAUUUACUGUACAGACAUGACAGUGAUAUCGCUCUUCUCAUCUAACUCUCGCCAAAAUGCGAAUAAUAAUUUUCCCCAAAAUGUCAAACUAUUCUUGUAACUUAUUACUUAACUGUAACUUAUUAUUACUAAUAUUUAAUACUUAUCUUCAAGAAAAUGGACUAUCAAAGUGAUGUAGCCUAAAGGAGUGCAUGAAUGACACAUUUAAAAGCAAAUAAAUCACAAUUGCAAAAACUUACAAAAGUGGACCGAGUUCAGUUGCAGGCUAUUGACAAACACCCGCUAUGUAGUGCAUCUUUUCUGUCACAACCCUGGUUUAGUUUCAACUUGUGAUGUUGCUCGUCUCCUUACAAAAAAACCAAUAUAUUUAAAAGCAAUAUAUUUUGUCUCAUCAAUAGUAUAUAAUAAUAUUCAUAUCAGUGAUACUGUAACAGUGGUUUUUAAACUAAUGUACCAUUAGUUUGGACACUGAUAAUUUUGUGUCUUUGGAGCUAUAUAAAUUGUGUCAUGCUGCUGUGAAAGCAUACAUAUCAAAACAGAUGGAUCAAAUUGCCAGACCUCUUUUUUAUUACUGUCAAAAGCUACAUUAUUGGCAGUUCAAUUCAGUACCCACCAUGGAUGAAAGUUCAAGUUAACAGUUCAUUUUUUAUCAUGUACAGUUACCAGUGUACGAUGUGUGGUGAAAUAGAAAGCAAUUUUCAUGAAGUGUUUAUGUUGUGUAGCCCUUCUAGUUGCUAAGUGAAAACAGUGCAAACAGUGUUAGUUAUGUAAAGGCACUUCCAUCCAGAGUUCCCUGUUUUUUUUCAUUUGUGUAAUGACCUCAAUCAAGACCAGAGUUGGAAGUGCAAUGGAAAUCAACUUCACACUAUUGCUACAUCUCUACAGUAUCAUAUUGUCCCCUGAAAUACUCCAUUAAACUCCCAAGUUCAGUGUGUGAUAGGGGUAUAGGACGCUAAAACCCUACUUGCUCAUCAAUCAUUGUGAGUCACAGUGGAUAAAGACAUUGGCUGAAAUUCUAAAAUGAGAUAUAAAAUAUAAAUGACUGAAGGUAUUAAAUGCAGUACAAAGACAUGAAUUGAACUACUGUAGCUUCCUUAAUGCAGUGAGAAGAUCGAUUUGUGUCAACAGAGAUUUGAGUAAUGGUUCUGUUGUUCCAUUCUGUAAGUUUUUGUUUUGUUGGGUAAAUGAAUGAUGACAAUCCCUCUUUCAGCGGUCUUGCAGCUCCUCUUGUAUUAUUGGAGGCAUUGUAAUAAGCCUUGCAGUGAGUAAAGCAGACAUUACAGUGCCUGGCAGGGAGCUGACAGUGAGUGAAGGCGCGCUAUUGUCUGAGUUGACUGACACUCCCGGAGUCUCCAUGCAACACCGCCGCUUUAAUGUGGCGUGCUGCUGUUGAAUGCCUCUGUUUGGUUUGAUCAGGCUAAUUGUGCAGUAAUAUUGCAAUUAAAGAUCAAACACUGUUUAAUGAAAUGAAACCCUGCCUCUCUUGGUGGUGUCUCUGGGCCUUUGACUUGGCUGCUGUACACGAGUGCUUGAAUUGUGUCUGAGGUCUUGGAGAGACCAAGAACAUUCAUAUAUCACUGUGAGGGAAAUCUAUAUCAAAAUUGAAAUCAUUUAGUGGUUACACAAAGGACAGGUGUAAAACACUUCUGAAAUGUGCUUUCAGGCAGGGCUGGAUUUACCCACUAGGAGGCCCCAGGGCAAAAAUGGUCUGUGGGCCCCAGUGCAUUUUGCCCAGAGGCCCAGAAACCAACCAGCAUGUCAACACUGGUAUACUAUCCUGCCCCAGGUUUGCCAUGUAAGCAUAACAUCAGUUGUAAUAUUAAAGGUUGUUAAGAUAGAUUUUGACACAGGGCCCUUAUAUGACACACAGCCUUGAAAUUGGAUGUUUUCUUUUUUUCCUUCUUCUUCAUUUUUUUUUUAAAAUUCUACCUUGUGCUGUCUUUCAAAUGUAGUGCUGGGCUGAUCUUCUCACAACCUGAUAAUAUGUCAGACAUGCCAAUUGCUUUAGUCUGGACCAUACAAUGAACAUUUAUGUUAAUGUAUGUUAGCAUCAAUGUAUGAUGGAUAUGUGUUUUUCUGUAAUGUUGAGUAUCUGUUAUUGCCUGUAUGUUUGAUGGACAAUUGUCUUUGCACUGCUGUUCUUAAAGAUG